AGAACGAACGCUGGCGGCAUGCCUAACACAUGCAAGUCGAACGCUCUUGGGGCUUCGGUUUCAAGGGAGUGGCGCACGGGUGAGUAGCGCGUGGGAACCUGUCCUGUUGUGGGGGAUAACCGAGGGAAACUUCGGCUAAUACCGCAUGCGCCCCGACGAAAGUCGGGGGAAAGAUUUAUCGCAGCAGGAGGGGCCCGCGUCGGAUUAGCUAGUUGGCGGGGUAACGCCCACCAAGGCGAUGAUCCGUAGCUGGUCUGAGAGGAUGAUCAGCCACAUUGGGACUGAGACACGGCCCAAACUCCUACGGGAGGCAGCAGUGGGGAAUAUUGGACAAUGGGCGCAAGCCUGAUCCAGCCAUGCCGCGUGAGUGAUGACGGCCUUAGGGUUGUAAAGCUCUUUCGCUCGGGACGAUAAUGACGGUACCGAGAUAAGAAGCCCGGCUAACUUCGUGCCAGCAGCCGC
rnacentral:rRNA from 1 species